rnacentral:rRNA from 1 species
GAUGAACGCUAGCUACAGGCUUAACACAUGCGAGUCGAGGGGCAGCAUGGUCUUAGCUUGCUAAGGCCGAUGGCGACCGGCGCACGGGUGAGUAACACGUAUCCAACCUGCCGUCUACUCUUGGACAGCCUUCUGAAAGGAAGAUUAAUACAAGAUGGCAUCAUGAGUCCGCAUGUUCACAUGAUUAAAGGUAUUCCGGUAGACGAUGGGGAUGCGUUCCAUUAGAUAGUAGGCGGGGUAACGGCCCACCUAGUCUUCGAUGGAUAGGGGUUCUGAGAGGAAGGUCCCCCACAUUGGAACUGAGACACGGUCCAAACUCCUACGGGAGGCAGCAGUGAGGAAUAUUGGUCAAUGGGCGCAGGCCUGAACCAGCCAAGUAGCGUGAAGGAUGACUGCCCUAUGGGUUGUAAACUUCUUUUAUAAAGGAAUAAAGUCGGGUAUGUAUACCCGUUUGCAUGUACUUUAUGAAUAAGGAUCGGCUAACUCCGU